AAUGGUAAUAUAAUGGUUGUUACUUAAUACUUUCUAUAUUUCAAUGUCGUGCAUUGUCAUUUUUCCGUUCAUCAAAGUAAACCGUGCCUUUUCUUUAACUUGUAAGUUCUUAAUUCUGAAAAAGUAGAAGCCUUAAAAAAUAGUAGGCUUAGGACAGCUAAGUCAUACGGUGUUUUAACUUUCUCCGGCAUUUCCUAACAAAACUUAAAAUCACACACACAGACAUUAUAUUCAGAAAAAAAAUUCUUUAGGAAGCUACAAAAUUGUCAAGUGCCAAUAGGGAUUUCCAAAUAGAUCCGUUUAAAUCCUAAAAAGUGAUAUCACCAGCUUUAGAAUAUGUCUUAUCAGAUCAAAUCGACGCCUUAUUUUCGGCGGAUGUUCAACAAUAGCAAGAAGAAUGGUCAAUUGCAGAGAUUAAGGGAGGAGUAUGAAAGGAUUCAGGAGUUCAAUGAUCGCACCAUCGAGCUGAAAAUGCGGCAGGUACGUUUGAAGCGCCUUUUCCGGGAGAUUGAGGAGAUCAAGGAUGGCGGUAUUGCUGGUAAUCAACUAACAAGUACCAAGAAUUCCCAUGGUGGUUCCCAUUCGCCACCACCACCACAAGCUGGACGUAAUCUUCGCCGGAUAAAUCAUCAUGCCAGGAUGUCAAAGAUCACGCCCGAGCAAAGAAUCCAUGAACAACGUGUCGAGACUUUGGCCCGGGCCCGAGAACUUGGCAAAGAGAUCUCGCGUCGAAAUGGCGAAAUGGUCGAAGCCGGAGCUGGUGGAUUCUUGAGAAGUGAAAUCCGUCUAACUGCCAAAAUGCAGGCGGCUGCCGAUGUCCGAAAGGAUGCAGUGGAUCGCAGAGAACGGGCUGCUAAACGUAUCUCCUACGGCAACGAUCAGUCGCGCCAGAAUCUUCAGCGAUUACUUCUGGUCCGUCAACGAAGACUAUGCGGUGGACACGCACAGAUGGUCGUUAAUCGUCCUCAGCAUCUGCAGCCAGAUUCCCAGGUUCCCGUGACACAACAGCUUCCAAGGAAGGAGAUAAGGCCCAGUCACUUAUAUCCGGACUAUCGCCAAUUAACCGCCAGCCAGAUGCAACUUCUUAAGGCUGAGAAAGAGCAAACAGUGGAGGAGCAGCGUCGUCUGCGAGACCAGGAGGAGGAUCAGCAACUGUUGCAGGAAUUGCACUACCAAAGGCUGAAACAGCAAAGGCGUCAGGAAGAUUUUUCUGAGGACGAUCUCCAACGACAGGAUUCUCCAUUGUCCAUGCAGAAUAACGUUGCGAAUAGCGAGGAGCAGAUGAUACAACUAAGGAUCCAAAACCCCGAUUUGGUCGACGAAUUGGAGCGCCGACGGCAACGACAGCAGGAGGACGAGGAUGAGGAGAAGCAGCUGCAGAUGCGAUUGCGCCAUCUCCAUGAGGACACUUCGCCCCUGCGGCUGCCCCGCUUCUCACUUAGCUCGACCUUAACGGAGGCUACUAAUGCCACUAAUGUUACAGUCGAAACAGCAGCCACAUCCCCAAUGAAUGUCAGGAGGCGCUACAAUAAGAAUGGCUCUUUGGAUUCCGAUUUGGAGAUUCAUACCGCUCCUCCGGCCCUCCCCGAUGAUCGCAUAGGCCUUUGCUCCUGCUUCGCUACUAUAUCGUCGCAUCAACCUACACAAGGCGUGCCUCAUAACCAAUACUAUGAUUACGUUCACGAGCAGGACUCCAUGUCGGCCACGAAAAAGUGGCGGCAAGUUUCGCUUAUGCUGCCCUGGAUGAAGGCUUUCCCUGACGCCAAAACUGAUGCUCCCGUGGCACAGCCAUCCGUCGGCGGUCUGAGCAUCAAUGCCAGUGAUUACGAGAUGGCGCCAGAAUGUGGCAUUAAUCCCAUGUACUCUUACCAAACUAGCGAUUCCGCCAACCAGGCGGAGGAGAAGCCAUUUCUGCCACCUAACAGCGAGUAUUUGAUAUCCACUCUUAAGUUCGUGGAAACUACCGAACGUUAAGAAUUUUGCGAGGCUCGAAGUGCUUUAUCCAAAUCGAAAUCACAGUUCCAGUACAAAAUCUUUGUUCAAAGACCAGAGAAAAGUGGUAGAUGGAGCCGCCAGGCGUCUGUGGUAGCUACAAACCAUAUUUUUUGCAUCAUCAAAAGAUUUGUUUUGUAACUGCAUCGCCAUCGCUGCCGAUCCCGUUCAACUUUGCAUAGAUCACCAGAUGACGAUGCCGUUAAAACGGCUUUUCGAUAGCAAAAAUCAAAUUUUUAGUCUUUUUUGAUAAAUAAAAUUGGAAAAUCUUGAAGGUA